rnacentral:rRNA from 1 species
GUUCGAUCACGGCUCAGAUUGAACGCUGGCAGGAUGUUACACAUGCAAGUCGAACGGCAGCACGGACUUCGGUCUGGUGGCGAGUGGCGAACGGGUGAGUAAUGUAUCGGAACGUGCCUAGUAGCGGGGGAUAACUACACCGAAAGCGUAGCUAAUACCGCAUACGCCCUUCGGGGAAAGCGGGGGACCUUCGGGCCUCGCACUAUUAAACGGCCGAUAUCGGAUUAGCUAGUUGGUGGGGUAACGGCUCACCAAGGCGACGAUCCGUAGCUGGUUUGAGAGGACGACCAGCACACUGGGACUGAGACACGGCCCAGACUCCUGCAGGAGGCAGCAGUGGGGAAUUUUGGACAAUGCGACCUGAUCCAGCCAUCCCCGCGUGUGCGAUGAAGGCCUUCGGGUUGUAAAGCACUUUUGGCAGGAAAGAAACGGCACGGGAUAAUACCCCGUGCAACUGACGGCUACCUGCAAGAAUAAGCACCGGCUAACUACGUGCCAGCAGCCGCGGUAAUGCAUGAGAUUACGGCGUUAAUCGGAAUUACUGGGCGUAAAGCGUGCGCAGGCGGUUCGGAAGAAAGAUGUGAAAUCCAGAGCUUAACUUUGGAACUGCAUUUUUUUAACUACCGAGCUAGAGUGUGUCAGAGGGAGGUGGAAUUCCGCGUGUAGCAGUGAAAUGCGUAGAUAUGCGGAGGAACACCGAUGGCGAAGGCAGCCUCCUGGGAUAACACUGACGCUCAUGCACGAAAGCGUGGGGAGCAAACGGGAUUAGAUACCCUGGUAGUCCACGCCUAAACGAUGUCAGCUAGCUGUUGGGGCCUUCGGGCCUUGGUAGCGCAGCUAACGCGUGAAGUUGACCGCCUGGGAAGUACGGUCGCAAGAUUAAAACUCAAAGGAAUUGACGGGGACCCGCACAAGCGGUGGAUGAUGUGGAUUAAUUCGAUGCAACGCGAAAACCUUACCUACCCUUGACAUGUCUGGAAUCCCGAAGAGAUUUGGGAGUGCUCGCAAGAGAACCGGAACACAGGUACUGCAUGGCUGUCGUCAGCUCGUGUCGUGAGAUGUUGGGUUAAGUCCCGCAACGAGCGCAGCCCUUGUCAUUAGUUGCUACGAAAGAGGGCACUCUAAUGAGACUGCCGGUGACAAACCGGAGGAAGGUGGGGAUGACGUCAAGUCCUCAUGGCCCUUAUGGGUAGGGCUUCACACGUCAUACAAUGGUCGGGACAGAGGGUCGCCAACCCGCGAGGAGCCAAUCCCAGAAACCCGAUCGUAGUCCGGAUCGCAGUCUGCAACUCGACUGCGUGAAGUCAGAAUCGCUAGUAAUCGCGGAUCAGCAUGUCGCGGUGAAUACGUUCCCGGGUCUUGUACACACCGCCCGUCACACCAUGGGAAUUGGGUUUUACCAGAAGUAGUUAGCCUAACUUAAGCCAAGGAGGGCGAUUACCACGGUAGGAUUCAUGACUGGGGUGAAGUCGUAACAAUUG